UACGUAGGGUGCGAGCGUUAAUCGGAAUUAUUGGGCGUAAAGAGCUCGUAGGUGGUUUGCUGCGUCCGCUGUGAAAACCCAAGGCUUAACCUUGGGCUUGCAGUGGAUACGGGCAGACUAGAGGUAGGUAGGGGAGAAUGGAAUUCCCGGUGUAGCGGUGAAAUGCGCAGAUAUCGGGAGGAACACCGGUGGCGAAGGCGGUUCUCUGGGCCUUACCUGACACUGAGGAGCGAAAGCGUGGGGAGCGAACAGG
rnacentral:rRNA from 1 species